AAAGCUGUAACCACUGCCUAGCUGCCCUCCGAAGGCAGAGGUCACAGGUUCGAAUCCUGUCGGGUGCGCCA
rnacentral:tRNA from 1 species